rnacentral:rRNA from 1 species
AUGAGCCAUAGGAAGCUCUUUUUCUUGGGCCGCACACUUUUGAAAAGGUGCAGGAUCUUAGUUCUUGAUGAAGCCACGGCCUCUAUAGAUAAUGCAACUGAUGCCGUCCUUCAGAAAACGAUCCAGUCAGAAUCCAAACAUUGCACCGUUAUUACUGUCGCACACCGUAUACCAACAGUUAUGGGCUGUGACAUGGUACUUGCAAUAAGUGAUGGGAAAGUAGUGGAGUAUGACAAGCCCAUGAAGCUCAUGGAAACUGAGGGAUCUCUCUUCCGUGAGCUGGUCAACGAGUACUGGUCAUACACAUCAAACGGAAAUGUUUAG